rnacentral:rRNA from 1 species
UACGUAGGGUGCAAGCGUUGUCCGGAAUUAUUGGGCGUAAAGAGCUCGUAGGCGGUUUGUCGCGUCUGCUGUGAAAACCCGAGGCUCAACCUCGGGCCUGCAGUAGGUACGGGCAGACUAGAGUGCGGUAGGGGAGAUUGGAAUUCCUGGUGUAGCGGUGGAAUGCGCAGAUAUCAGGAGGAACACCAAUGGCGAAGGCAGAUCUCUGGGCCGUAACUGACGCUGAGGAGCGAAAGCAUGGGGAGCGAACAGG